AAACGUUGCGUAGAAAAGCGAGAAACAAAGGGGGAGAGAGAGCGGGGAGCCAGCCCCGGGCGCUGCUGUCCUCUGCCGGCACGACGUGCCCCCGCACUUGGCCGUGAGGGCGAAAAAAAAAACCCACACAAACCACCCACCCACGCGCGCGUUUUUAUCAUUUUAUUAUUUCCUAAAAGAGGAGAAACAGGCGUUAAAGGGAAGAAAGAAGCCCUAAAACGGGGAGCAAACCCAUCGCCCCCCUCAGGGGGCGGCGGAGCGCUCCCCCGUCAGGGGCGGAGAGCUCCCCUCAGGGCCGCAGAGCGCAGGCCCCGCCGCCGGCCGCCUCCGCCCGCCCCUCGGCCGCGGUGCGGGGCCCAUUGGCUGCGCUCCGCCACGUGCCGCCGCCGCCGCCGCCGCUGCCCCCGGCGGGGCCGUUACCUGCGGCGGGGCCGCGCCGCCCGCCCCGAUGCGGAGGCAGGGCGCCCGGGCCGAGCCCAGCGCAGGUGGGUAGGGGCGGCGAGGCGGGUAUGGGGGAGCGGGGAGGCGGGAGGGGGCUUUCUUGGGGGGGAAAUAGAGGCGGUUUCAGGGUUUUGGGGCGCUGCGUGGCUCGGAGGGGGGUUUAUUGCCUCAGAGAGGGGGUCUUUUACCUCAGAAGGGGGCUUUUUCUCUCAGAGGAGGGGGCUUAUUGCCUCAAAGAGCGGGUUUAUUCCCUCAGGGAGGGGUUUAUUCCCUCAGACGGGGGUCUUUUUCCCUCAGAGAAGGGCUUUUUCCCUCAGAAGGGGGGGCUUUUUCCCUCAGAGAGGGGGGCGUUUUCCCUCAGAGGGCUGCUUUCCCCUCACAGGCGCUGCCCUCCUCCCCCGCGGUGCCCGCCGAGGCGUGAAGGCUCCGAUCUCUCUGUGGUGUUUCUUUUUUUUUUUUUUUAAAUUUAAAUUUUUAUUUUUUAUUAUUAUUUUUGAGGGUGGGGUCGCUUCCACCACGCCAGGUGCGGGGCCCUGCCGGGGGGGUCAGGGCUGGGCGAGGAGAGGCCUCGCAGCGCCGGGGGAGCGCCGUGCCGCCGCCCCCUUCCCUCCCUCCUGCCCCCUUCCCCCCCAGUCCCUGCCCCUAUUUCAGCCCCUUCCCUGCCCCUGUCUCAGCCCCUUCCCUGCCCCCUAUUUAAAGCUGGCCCCGCAGCAGCCCUGGCUUCGGAGAGCUGGCCCCCGGGGAAGGCGCAGAGAUGCAGGUAUUCCCCAGCUUUACACCAUCUCGGGCCUCUUCCCAGCGCCAGGAAUGCGGCUGGGGCUGUUUGGAGUCAUUCUGCCGAAAUAA
rnacentral:lncRNA from 1 species